AGUCACUGACAUUAGAUACCCCGGUAGUCCAGGGUGUAAACGCUGUAGACUUGGUGUUGGGAACCCUUCGGGGGUGCUCAGUGCCGGAGAGAAGUUGUUAAGUCUGCUACUUGGGGAGUACGUCCGCAAGGAUGAAACUUAAAGGAAUUGGCGGGGGAGCACCGCAACGGGAGGAGCGUGCGGUUUAAUUGGAUUCAACGCCGAAAAACUCACCAGCAGCGACUGUUACAUGAAAGUCAGGUUGAUGACCUUACUAGAUUUUCAG
rnacentral:rRNA from 1 species